GAUUAUGAUGAGACAUUUUGGAAUCUCGUUCGUCUGAUCUCUUGAUGAGAAAUGGAAUUCUGACACCA